GUCCUUUUAUCUCAGUUGGAUAGAGCACGAGCCUUCUAAGCCCGGGGUCGGGAGUUCGAGCCUCUCAAAGGACGCCA
rnacentral:tRNA from 1 species